UCUAUUUUUUGCGUUGUGGCCGCGGCACACAAAAAUUUGAAAACAAAAUGACUCAGCUUUUAGUGCAAGAGCGAAAAGAGCCCCAAAAUAAGUGCUCUACUUGUAUAUACAUAUGUACAUAUGUAUGCAUAUUUAUUUCGACUCAGGUCAGAGUAAACUUAUGCCGAAUGACGGUAAAUCAGUCUCGUAUUACACAUAACACUCUUUAAGCAUUUUACGGCGUGUAGAAGUGCCGUUAUCAGCUAAAAACACAACGAAAAAACGGUCAAACGUGUGAAAAAACACGAAAGUCAAAAGAGGGAAUUUAUGCAAAAACGCAAUAAGCCAAAGGCGAUGAUCGUCAUCGGUCAAAGCUGGCACAAGGGUUCAUAAGCCUUCCGGCGCACAUUUAAAACACCAAAAAGGAACAACAAAUAAAACAUUAAUUCUUAACGAAGUGCUAUCUACUAAUUUGUUUGGCUGGUGUCGACCUAGACUUCUCCUUUUGGCCACUGGGAUCCCAGGACUGAAGGUUGGUACUGCUGCAGACCACAAACACCAACAUGGCCAUCGUGUUGAAAGCAAUCAGCGUGACUAGCACCACAUUCCAUUCGCCUUUGCUGCCCUGGGAGGUUGUGCACCAAAGCGGCGACUAGAUGAGGAGCCAGAAACCCGGAGAGAUGAGCCAUUCCAUUGGCCAAUCCCGAAAGUAAUCCCGCGAAAGAGGGCGCAAAGUAG